rnacentral:misc_RNA from 1 species
UCUCCGUAGGUGAACCUGCGGAGGGAUCAUUACAGGGUUCAUGCCCUCCGGGUAGCUCUCCCACCCAUUGCUAUAACUACUCUCGUUGCUUUGGCGGGCCGCUGGGCCCUGCCCGGCCGCCGGCCCCGGCUGGCGCGUGCCCGCCAGAGACCUCACAAACUCUGAAUGUUAGUGUCGUCCGGGUAACUAUACAAUCGUUAAAACCUUCAACAACGGAUCUCUUGGUUCUG